rnacentral:lncRNA from 1 species
AAGUUCAUUUAUUCUCGAUAUGAAUCUAGACUUUACAUAAUAUAAAAUUAUUUCAUCUCGUGAUUCUCCUUCAAGCCAAAAAUAUACGUGAAAUGAUCCUUAAACAUGGAUUGGAUCCUUCAUCCACUAUUGUAAUGCAUUAUUCACCCUAGUAAUGGCAUUUCCCUUCUUCCUUUAUGUUGACUAUUUGUGAAAAAACCUAGUCUUUUGGUCUCCCCAUUUGAGCUAAUCCAAUGUAAUAUUUGAGCUAGCAUUAUUUUUUCCUUUUGAUAAAGCUCAUCUAGUCUUUUAUCUCGCUCUUUUAAGUGAAACUACAUUAUUCUUUAAAUUUAAAAUCUCAUAUGAUACUGUCAUAUCGUAUUUAAUUAUAAUAAUUUGGUUUUUGAUACUUUACAUAAGGUUCCGUUCCCAACUACUUAACAUUAUUUAAGAUAUACUAAAGUUUACUAUCAAC